UGGGGAAUCUUGCGCAAUGGGCGAAAGCCUGACGCAGCCAUGCCGCGUGUAUGAUGAAGGUCUUAGGAUUGUAAAAUACUUUCACCGGUGAAGAUAAUGACUGUAGCCGGAGAAGAAGCCCCGGCUAACUUCGUGCCAGCAGCCGCGGUAAUACGAAGGGGGCUAGCGUUGCUCGGAAUUACUGGGCGUAAAGGGAGCGUAGGCGGACAUUUAAGUCAGGGGUGAAAUCCCAGAGCUCAACUCUGGAACUGCCUUUGAUACUGGAUGUCUUGAGUAUGAGAGAGGUAUGUGGAACUCCGAGUGUAGAGGUGAAAUUCGUAGAUAUUCGGAAGAACACCAGUGGCGAAGGCGACAUACUGGCUCAUUACUGACGCUGAGGCUCGAAAGCGUGGGGAGCAAACAGG
rnacentral:rRNA from 1 species